rnacentral:rRNA from 1 species
AGCGAACGCUGGCGGCGGGCCUAACACAUGCAAGUCGAACGAAGCAUUCGGGCUUAGUGGCGGACGGGUGAGUAACACGUGGGAACGAACCUUUUGGUUCGGGACAACUCAGGGAAACUUGAGCUAAUACCGGAUGAGCCCAUAGGGGGAAAGAUUGAUCGCCGAAAGAGCGGGCGAGGUUAGAUUAGCUAGUUGGUGAGGUAAAGGCACACCAAGGCUACGAUCUAUAGCUGGUCUGAGAGGGUGUUCAGCCACACUGAGACUGGGAGCCGGCCCAGACUCCUACGGGAGGCAGCAGUGGUGAAUAUUGCACCAUGGGAGAAACCCUGAUGCAGCGACGCAGCGUGAGUGAUGAAGGCCUUCGGGUCGUAAAGCUCUGUCGUAUGGGAAUAAGAGCUGAAUGUACCAUGCAAGAAAGGGUCGGCUAUGUGCGUGCCAGCAGCCGCCGUAACAC